rnacentral:rRNA from 1 species
GAUGAACGCUGGCGGCGUGCCUAAUACAUGCAAGUCGAGCGAAUGGAUUAAGAGCUUGCUCUUAUGAAGUUAGCGGCGGACGGGUGAGUAACACGUGGGUAACCUGCCCAUAAGACUGGGAUAACUCCGGGAAACCGGGGCUAAUACCGGAUAACAUUUUGAACCGCAUGGUUCGAAAUUGAAAGGCGGCUUCGGCUGUCACUUAUGGAUGGACCCGCGUCGCAUUAGCUAGUUGGUGAGGUAACGGCGCACCAAGGCAACGAUGCGAGGCCGACCUGAGAUGGUGGUCGGCCACACGGGGACUGAGAAACGGCCCAGACUCCUACGGGAGGCAGCAGUAGGGAAUCUUCCUCAAUGGACGAAAGUCUGACGGAGCAACGCCGCGUGAGUGAUGAAGGCUUUCGGGUCGUAAAACUCUGUUGUUAGGGAAGAACAAGUGCUAGUUGAAUAAGCUGGCACCUUGACGGUACCUAACCAGAAAGCCACGGCUAACUACGUGCCAGCCGCCGCCGUAA